rnacentral:misc_RNA from 1 species
UGAUGUUUGCCUUAUUGUUGU